GAUGAACGCUGGCGGCGUGCUUAACACAUGCAAGUCGAACGAAGUCCAUGGAGCUUGCUCCGGAAGACUUAGUGGCGAACGGGUGCGUAACACGUGAGAAACCUGCCCUGGACUUUGGGAUAACAGUUGGAAACGACUGCUAAUACCGAAUAUCACCAUCACCUCGCAUGGGGAGAUGAUGAAAGGUCCGCCGGUCCAGGAGGGUCUCGCGGCCUAUCAGCUUGUUGGAGAGGUAACGGCUCACCAAGGCAUCGACGGGUAGCUGGUCUGAGAGGAUGAUCAGCCACACUGGGACUGAGACACGGCCCAGACUCCUACGGGAGGCAGCAGUGGGGAAUCUUGCACAAUGGGCGCAAGCCUGAUGCAGCAACGCCGCGUGCGGGAAGAAGGCCCUAGGGUUGUAAACCGCUUUCAGUAGGGAAGAAAAUGACGGUACCUACAGAAGAAGGUGCGGCCAACUACGUGCCAGCAGCCGCGGUGACACGUAGGCACCAAGCGUUAUCCGGAUUUAUUGGGCGUAAAGAGCUCGUAGGCGGUUCAGUCAGUCGGGUGUGAAAACUUGAGGCUUAACCUCGAGAGGCCACCCGAUACUACUGUGACUAGAG
rnacentral:rRNA from 1 species